rnacentral:rRNA from 1 species
AUGACAGCCGACCGCGUCCUCCACCUCCUUCGCGCGCCGGCGGCUUCCCCGGCGGCAGCUCACGGCCGGGGCCCUCCCCGGCCGCAGCGCGUCGGCCUCCCACCGGUAAAGCGGCGCGUCGGCGUGGCCUGCUCCAGCUCCACCGAGGAGGACAGCAUGACUUACAAGGGCGCCGGUGUGGCCUGCUCCAGCUCCACCGAGGAGGACGGCAUGACUUACAAGGGCGCCGGCGUGGACAUCGACGCUGGCUCCGAGCUCGUGCGCCGCAUCCGCAAGAUGGCCCCCUGGAUAGGCGGCUUCGGCGGCAUCCUCCCCCACAAGGAUGAAUACCUUGUAUUUAGCGUUGAUGGUGUUGGGACAAAGCUGAAGCUUGCAUUUGAAACUGGUAUUCAUGAUACAAUUGGGAUUGACCUGGUAGCUAUGAGUGUUAAUGAUAUCCUAACAUCAGGCGCAAAACCAUUGGUCUUCUCAGAUUACUAUGCUACAGGCAAGCUUGAUGUCGAUCUUGCAGAGAAGGUUAUUAAGGGAAUAUUGGAUGGAUGCGAACAAUCAGGCUGUAAUCUGAUAGGAGGAGAGACAGCAGAGAUGCCUGGUUUCUACGGGGAAGGUGAAUAUGAUCUAGGUGGUUUUGCCAUGGGUGUUGUGGACAAGGAUAAGCUCAUCGACGGUAAAAAUAUCGUGGAGGGAGAUAUCCUCAUUGGUCUUCCUUCAAAUGGGGUUCAUUCAAAUGGGUUCUCUCUCGUUAGAAGAGUAUUGGACAAAAGUGGACUCUCCUUGACUGAUCAGUUCCCAGGAAACGAUGGCAAAACAACUACCGUCGGUGAAACUCUCAUGACACCGACUACAAUCUAUGUUAAGCAGGUACUUGAGAUCAUAAGCAAGGGUGGUGUGAAAGGACUAGCCCAUAUCACUGGUGGUGGCUUCACUGAUAACAUCCCGAGAGUAUUUCCUUCUGGACUCGGGGCCAAAAUCUUCACUGGAUCGUGGGAAGUGCCACCUGUGUUCAAGUGGCUUCAACAUGUUGGAAAAAUUGAAGAUGCCGAGAUGAUGCGGACGUUCAACAUGGGCGUCGGGAUGGUCCUUGUAGUAAGCAAGGAGGCAGCUGACAGGAUUAUCGAGGAAUCAAGCCCUGCUUAUCGCAUUGGAGAGGUGAUCCAGGGCAAGGGUGUUCACUACGUCUGA